rnacentral:tRNA from 1 species
GAGGGGGCGGUCCAACCAGCAAGAACUGCUAACUCUUGUAUCUGAGCUUUAAACCUCAGCUCCCUUA